GGGUAUGUGUCAAAGGGACAACAACCCGACCAUAGAGCAGACAACGGUUGAAGGCCGCCAAUGGGUCUUCAAUGAGGUGAGAAACUCCCGCACCCAUAGGCGUCCUUCAGCUGGCCCCUUAAAAAAUAUGUUUACAGGUACAGUGAUAAUGGACGUCAUACUAAACUCCAAAUUAUACACAAGAAACUGUUAUGAAAAAACUUUUUUUUGCCAUUAAUUAUAGCUCCAGAUCUUUUACAUUAUAUGUCUAUUGGUCAAAGUUUUUUUUAAUUAUAUGUUUUAA
rnacentral:lncRNA from 1 species